UUUUCCCUUAUGUAUUCUCCAAUUAGUGUGAAAGGAGGGCUUAUGCACGCAGUACGACAUCUACGGCGGAGGAGCCACCGUUUUGAAGACUCAUCUUCUGUUGCUCUGUGGGUUACUUUGUGAACAAUCACUACAUUCCUCUGAAGUUCUAGGCUUGGGUUAUCUACAAGGAAUCAAAUUGGAUUAGUGCUGUUCUUUGGGUAGUUUUGCUAAUGUGCUUAACAAGGUAAUUUUUGGCGUGAAUUGUGGGAAACCUCAAAACCAAUACCAGCUGUCAGACAAACCCCCCUAUAUGAUGAGGAUUUGGCUGUAAUAAAUCAUUUGUAGAAUAUGUCUAUCUUCUACCUCCACUUCAUAUGACUUGUGGUUGCUAUCUUGACUCAUUGUAACCAGCAACAGGACCUUGAUGAUUCGGACGGGAGGUAGCAUUUCGAAUCACCUCUGCCAAAGCAACGUGCAGAAGAAUGUUGGAGGGACUGGAGAGUUGUCAAGUUUUUUAUUUUUAUUUUUAUUUAUUUUAAACCUUCUUAAACCCCUACUGCAGGCAGUGCAACAGAUUGGUAAUUGGUGGGAGUUAUUUUAUUCAAACUCAUCAUUGGGUUCUUACAAUACCAAUUGCAUUUGAUUUGUUUACUUUCCUUACAGGUUCUUGUUCUUUGUUUCUUGCAGAUUGCUGAAAAUUCAACCUUGAAGGAGAUAUUCAACUGCAGAUAUUUAGAAAAGUUUCAUGUUAUUUGUUGUGGUCCUGCUGAUGGACUUGUAAUAUCUGGACACUCUCUUGCACUUGAUGAAUCAAGUAUGACUGGGGAAAGCAAGAUUGUGAGUAUUCUGUGGAUCUCUGAUUGAGUAUUCUGUGAGUAUGACCCAGCUCGGUAUUCCGAUCAUCUACGGAAUUUAUGCGAUUCAUGGGAACAACAAUGUCUAUGGUGCCAUUGUUUUCCCCCACUUUAUUGGGCUCGGAGCUACUAGAGAUGCAGAUCUAGUGAAGAGAAUAGGGGUUGUGACUGCCCUUGAAGGCUAGUGGAGCCCAAUAUGAUUUUGCUCCAUGUGUAGCUGUAAGUUGCAAAGGUUGAUUUAAUUGUGCUGUAUCCACAACUUUCUACUGUUGGUGUCUUUAAGUGGAGUAAUUGUGAUUGUUUUCUUUUAGUGGAGUAAUACUGUUGGUGUCUCCUAGAGUCUGCCUAGUGCACAUACAGUUUUUAUGAAAUCUCACUUCAUUCAACUCAAAAAGAGUGGAAAAAUAGAGAUAGAAAAUGGACAAUAGUGAGGGUGCAUAAAGUGCUCGAUAUGUCAGUUUUACACAAAUUGAGGAUUUUUUUUUUUUAAUUGGAAACUAAAGUUGAAUCAAUAUGAGCAUGAUCUUGGGUGAAAUACUGAAGUGCUUUAUUUAACUUCUAGGUUGUAUUUUAUAUGUUAGAUUUAACAUUAGAAGUUCAUUGGUUCCUUGCAUAUGAUGUAACUCAGAUCUGCAUUAGUUGGAAGUGAGGCAAGUUUUAUGUUGGAUAAUGCCUACCCCAUACUAAUUUUCCUCAUUAUCUCAUCUUAGAAACUGAGGGUUCACAUUUUGAUUUAGAAAA